GGGGGAUAUUGCACAAUGGGGGAAACCCUGAUGCAGCGACGCCGCGUGAGCGAAGAAGGCCUUCGGGUCGUAAAGCUCUGUUUCGAGGGAAGAUAAUGACGGUACCUCGGGAGGAAGCCCCGGCUAACUACGUGCCAGCAGCCGCGGUAAUACGUAGGGGGCAAGCGUUAUCCGGAAUCACUGGGCGUAAAGGGUGCGUAGGCGGUCUUGUAAGUCUAGGGUGAAAGGCUACGGCUCAACCGUAGUAAGCCUUAGAAACUGCAGGACUUGAGUGCAGGAGAGGAGAGUGGAAUUCCUAGUGUAGCGGUGAAAUGCGUAGAUAUUAGGAGGAAUACCAGUAGCGAAGGCGGCUCUCUGGACUGUAACUGACACUGAGGCACGAAAGCGUGGGGAGCAAAC
rnacentral:rRNA from 1 species